GGGACACGUGGUAUCCUGUCUGAAUAUGGGGGGACCAUCCUCCAAGGCUAAAUACUCCUGACUGACCGAUAGUGAACCAGUACCGUGAGGGAAAGGCGAAAAGAACCCCGGCGAGGGGAGUGAAAAAGAACCUGAAACCGUGUACGUACAAGCAGUGGGAGCACGCUUAGGCGUGUGACUGCGUACCUUUUGUAUAAUGGGUCAGCGACUUAUAUUCUGUAGCAAGGUUAACCGAAUAGGGGAGCCGAAGGGAAACCGAGUCUUAACUGGGCGUUAAGUUGCAGGGUAUAGACCCGAAACCCGGUGAUCUAGCCAUGGGCAGGUUGAAGGUUGGGUAACACUAACUGGAGGACCGAACCGACUAAUGUUGAAAAAUUAGCGGAUGACUUGUGGCUGGGGGUGAAAGGCCAAUCAAACCGGGAGAUAGCUGGUUCUCCCCGAAAGCUAUUUAGGUAGCGCCUCGUGAAUUCAUCUCCGGGGGUAGAGCACUGUUUCGGCAAGGGGGUCAUCCCGACUUACCAACCCGAUGCAAACUGCGAAUACCGGAGAAUGUUAUCACGGGAGACACACGGCGGGUGCUAACGUCCGUCGUGAAGAGGGAAACAACCCAGACCGCCAGCUAAGGUCCCAAAGUCAUGGUUAAGUGGGAAACGAUGUGGGAAGGCCCAGACAGCCAGGAUGUUGGCUUAGAAGCAGCCAUCAUUUAAAGAAAGCGUAAUAGCUCACUGGUCGAGUCGGCCUGCGCGGAAGAUGUAACGGGGCUAAACCAUGCACCGAAGCUGCGGCAGCGACGCUUAUGCGUUGUUGGGUAGGGGAGCGUUCUGUAAGCCUGCGAAGGUGUGCUGUGAGGCAUGCUGGAGGUAUCAGAAGUGCGAAUGCUGACAUAAGUAACGAUAAAGCGGGUGAAAAGCCCGCUCGCCGGAAGACCAAGGGUUCCUGUCCAACGUUAAUCGGGGCAGGGUGAGUCGACCCCUAAGGCGAGGCCGAAAGGCGUAGUCGAUGGGAAACAGGUUAAUAUUCCUGUACUUGGUGUUACUGCGAAGGGGGGACGGAGAAGGCUAUGUUGGCCGGGCGACGGUUGUCCCGGUUUAAGCGUGUAGGCUGGUUUUCCAGGCAAAUCCGGAAAAUCAAGGCUGAGGCGUGAUGACGAGGCACUACGGUGCUGAAGCAACAAAUGCCCUGCUUCCAGGAAAAGCCUCUAAGCAUCAGGUAACAUCAAAUCGUACCCCAAACCGACACAGGUGGUCAGGUAGAGAAUACCAAGGCGCUUGAGAGAACUCGGGUGAAGGAACUAGGCAAAAUGGUGCCGUAACUUCGGGAGAAGGCACGCUGAUAUGUAGGUGAAGUCCCUCGCGGAUGGAGCUGAAAUCAGUCGAAGAUACCAGCUGGCUGCAACUGUUUAUUAAAAACACAGCACUGUGCAAACACGAAAGUGGACGUAUACGGUGUGACGCCUGCCCGGUGCCGGAAGGUUAAUUGAUGGGGUUAGCGCAAGCGAAGCUCUUGAUCGAAGCCCCGGUAAACGGCGGCCGUAACUAUAACGGUCCUAAGGUAGCGAAAUUCCUUGUCGGGUAAGUUCCGACCUGCACGAAUGGCGUAAUGAUGGCCAGGCUGUCUCCACCCGAGACUCAGUGAAAUUGAACUCGCUGUGAAGAUGCAGUGUACCCGCGGCAAGACGGAAAGACCCCGUGAACCUUUACUAUAGCUUGACACUGAACAUUGAGCCUUGAUGUGUAGGAUAGGUGGGAGGCUUUGAAGUGUGGACGCCAGUCUGCAUGGAGCCGACCUUGAAAUACCACCCUUUAAUGUUUGAUGUUCUAACGUGGACCCGUAAUCCGGGUUGCGGACAGUGUCUGGUGGGUAGUUUGACUGGGGCGGUCUCCUCCUAAAGAGUAACGGAGGAGCACGAAGGUUGGCUAAUCCUGGUCGGACAUCAGGAGGUUAGUGCAAUGGCAUAAGCCAGCUUGACUGCGAGCGUGACGGCGCGAGCAGGUGCGAAAGCAGGUCAUAGUGAUCCGGUGGUUCUGAAUGGAAGGGCCAUCGCUCAACGGAUAAAAGGUACUCCGGGGAUAACAGGCUGAUACCGCCCAAGAGUUCAUAUCGACGGCGGUGUUUGGCACCUCGAUGUCGGCUCAUCACAUCCUGGGGCUGAAGUAGGUCCCAAGGGUAUGGCUGUUCGCCAUUUAAAGUGGUACGCGAGCUGGGUUUAGAACGUCGUGAGACAGUUCGGUCCCUA
rnacentral:rRNA from 1 species